UACGGAGGGGGCUAGCGUUGUUCGGAAUUACUGGGCGUAAAGCGCACGUAGGCGGACUAUUAAGUCAGGGGUGAAAUCCCGGGGCUCAACCCCGGAACUGCCCUUUGAUACUGGUAGUCUCGAGUCCGGAAGAGGUGAGUGGAAUUCCGAGUGUAGAGGUGAAAUUCGUAGAUAUUCGGAGGAACACCAGUGGCGAAGGCGGCUCACUGGUCCGGUACUGACGCUGAGGUGCGAAAGCGUGGGGAGCAAACAGG
rnacentral:rRNA from 1 species